UACGAAGGGGGCUAGCGUUGUUCGGAAUCACUGGGCGUAAAGCGCACGUAGGCGGAUCUUUAAGUCAGGGGUGAAAUCCCGAGGCUCAACUCCAGAACUGCCUUUGAUACUGGCGAUCUUGAGUCCGGGAGAGGUGAGUGGAACUGCGAGUGUAGAGGUGAAAUUCGUAGAUAUUCGCAAGAACACCAGUGGCGAAGGCGGCUCACUGGCCCGGUACUGACGCUGAGGUGCGAAAGCGUGGGGAGCAAACAGG
rnacentral:rRNA from 1 species